GCCCCGGUAAACGGCGGCCGUAACUAUAACGGUCCUAAGGUAGCGAAAUUCCUUGUCGGGUAAGUUCCGACCUGCACGAAUGGCGUAAUGAUGGCCAGGCUGUCUCCACCCGAGACUCAGUGAAAUUGAACUCGCUGUGAAGAUGCAGUGUACCCGCGGCAAGACGGAAAGACCCCGUGAACCUUUACUAUAGCUUGACACUGAACAUUGAGCCUUGAUGUGUAGGAUAGGUGGGAGGCUUUGAAGUGUGGACGCCAGUCUGCAUGGAGCCGACCUUGAAAUACCACCCUUUAAUGUUUGAUGUUCUAACGUGGGCCCGUAAUCCGGGUUGCGGACAGUGUCUGGUGGGUAGUUUGACUGGGGCGGUCUCCUCCUAAAGAGUAACGGAGGAGCACGAAGGUUGGCUAAUCCUGGUCGGACAUCAGGAGGUUAGUGCAAUGGCAUAAGCCAGCUUGACUGCGAGCGUGACGGCGCGAGCAGGUGCGAAAGCAGGUCAUAGUGAUCCGGUGGUUCUGAAUGGAAGGGCCAUCGCUCAACGGAUAAAAGGUACUCCGGGGAUAACAGGCUGAUACCGCCCAAGAGUUCAUAUCGACGGCGGUGUUUGGCACCUCGAUGUCGGCUCAUCACAUCCUGGGGCUGAAGUAGGUCCCAAGGGUAUGGCUGUUCGCCAUUUAAAGUGGUACGCGAGCUGGGUUUAGAACGUCGUGAGACAGUUCGGUCCCUAUCUGCCGUGGGCGCUGGAGAACUGAGGGGGGCUGCUCCUAGUACGAGAGGACCGGAGUGGACGCAUCACUGGUGUUCGGGUUGUCAUGCCAAUGGCACUGCCCGGUAGCUAAAUGCGGAAGAGAUAAGUGCUGAAAGCAUCUAAGCACGAAACUUGCCCCGAGAUGAGUUCUCCCUGACCCUUUAAGGGUCCUGAAGGAACGUUGAAGACGACGACGUUGAUAGGCCGGGUGUGUAAGCGCAGCGAUGCGUUGAGCUAACCGGUACUAAUGAACCGUGAGGCUUAACCUUACAACGCCGAAG
rnacentral:rRNA from 2 species